AAGACCUUGCACUUUUGGAGCGGCCGAUGUCUGAUUAGCUAGUUGGUGGGGUAAUGGCCUACCAAAGCUUCGAUCAGUAGCUGGUCUGAGAGGACGGCCAGCCACACUGGGACUGAGACACGGCCCAGACUCCUACGGGAGGCAGCAGUGGGGAAUUUUGGACAAUGGGCGCAAGCCUGAUCCAGCCAUGCCGCGUGAGUGAAGAAGGCCUUCGGGUUGUAAAGCUCUUUCAGCCGGAACGAAACGGUUACGGAUAACACCCGUGACUACUGACGGUACCGGAAGAAGAAGCACCGGCUAACUACGUGCCAGCAGCCGCGGUAAUACGUAGGGUGCGAGCGUUAAUCGGAAUUACUGGGCGUAAAGCGUGCGCAGGUGGUUUUGUAAGUCAGAUGUGAAAGCCCCGGGCUCAACCUGGGAACU
rnacentral:rRNA from 1 species